rnacentral:rRNA from 1 species
UUGACCUCGGAUCAGGUAGGGAUACCCGCUGAACUUAAGCAUAUCAAUAAGCGGAGGAAAAGAAACCAACAGGGAUUACCUCAGUAACGGCGAGUGAAGCGGUAACAGCUCAAAUUUGAAAGCUGCCAACAGGCCGCGUUGUAAUUUGUAGAAGCUGCUUUGGGUGUCGGCCCGGUCUAAGUUCCUUGGAACAGGACGUCAUAGAGGGUGAGAAUCCCGUAUGUGAUCGGUGCCGUUGCCCGUGUAAAGCGCUUUCGACGAGUCGAGUUGUUUGGGAAUGCAGCUCAAAAUGGGUGGUAAAUUUCAUCUAAAGCUAAAUAUUGGCCAGAGACCGAUAGCGCACAAGUAGAGUGAUCGAAAGAUGAAAAGCACUUUGGAAAGAGAGUUAAACAGUACGUGAAAUUGUUGAAAGGGAAGCGCUUGCAACCAGACUUGCGGGCGGUCGAUCAUCCGAGGUUCUCCCCGGUGCACUCGAUCGUUCUCAGGCCAGCAUCGGUUUCCGGGGUGGGAUAAAGGCGGUGGGAAUGUGGCUCUUCGGAGUGUUAUAGCCCACCGUGCAAUGCCGCCACUGGGGACCGAGGACCGCGCUUCGGCUAGGAUGCUGGCGUAAUGGUUGUAAGCGACCCGUCUUGAAAAC